rnacentral:lncRNA from 1 species
UGGUGAUUGAAGUGCUUAUCUCCCCUAAUCGGAGCGUGUAAAGGUAUUACUGCAGAGCCAAAGCGUCGCCACACCAGCUUUGAUAUGGAAAAUCACAUCUGUGAGCUCCCAAACAACAUUAUCUACAGAGAGCUGAAUACCACGUAAAACCUUUCCUGCAACCGCUCCAUCUGUUGUCUUGGAUUAGCUCCAUGUUUAUUGCCUUUUUUUUUUCCUCACAUGCUCAAAGGCAGACAGGGCAGGGAGGGCGAAAGAAAGGGAGGCGAAUAAAGAGCCGAACACACAUCUUGUUAAAACCCACAGUCGGUUGAGAAGAGGACGUAUUGCUGAGAGUAUCCAUGGCUGCUCUGUAGCCAUCGUGUGCUUUAGUUAACUUCGGAGAUGACGGAGGACAAACAAGUACUUCAAAGACAGUAAAGUAACACAGCAACUUAUAACAUCAAUACAUCCUUGCCGUUUCUGUGUCAAUGGCACAUCUAAGUUCACCCCCCCAAACGACGUUCAUCGUUGAAAUGCUCUUUAUUUCCUCCAGAUCCCGUCCAGUCCUGCUGCCUUAUGGAGACGAUGAUGGUGAACACAG